rnacentral:rRNA from 1 species
UGGGCACUUGCCCGGGCUCGCUAGUCCUCGAUAGCAGCGAUCGAUCCAAAUUAACGAAGCGCUAAACAUGUUCGACAGCUUGUUUACCCGGGCAAAAAAGAACUGGGCCUUCGGUUUUCAUAGGUUCAUAGCCCAACAGCAGUCAGCAGGCCAGGCCGAUACAGAAGUCACCUAAAAAAACAAGGAAAUACGUAGGUUGUACAGAUCGAUCGCUCGAACUCCCUGUCUCUUCGUUUCCACACAGGCGGCGAGCGCAGGGACUGGCGGCUGGGGCUAGAGCCCUAGACGGCUAGACGCAAGGCCGGCGGGCGGCGGCGAGCGGACGCAAGGCGUCCAGACAGUCUACUCGUCCGGUCUUCCCUCAACCUCCUCCUUCUUCUCAUUCCGCCUCGGCUCUGUUCGAGAUGAGGACUUUUUUGGUUAAUAGACCAAGCACUGAAAAUGCGAAUAGUGUGCAACCGGACAUAGAACUGGAGGCACACCCACCUCCUAACAUUGCCAAUGAGGAGGUUUUCUACUUGUGAUGAUGUUCAAAGUUUGGCCGUGAAGAUGGUUGAAACUGAGAAACAUUUGGUAUUUUGACUGGUAUACAAACUUAUUGAGUUGGCCUUGAUAUUGCCGGUGUCAACGGUAUCUGUUGAAAGAGCUUUUUCAGGAAUGAAGAUUAUCAAGACUAAACUACGUAGCAAGAUCAAUAAUGAAUGGUUCAAUGACUUGUUGAUGAUAAGGAUAUUAUUCGAACAUUUACUGCAAUGAGCUCUCGGAAGGGGCAUUUGCCUCGUGAUUUUGUUUAGUGGGGUGUCGGUAUGUUCCAUUUGACCAUCUCUAUUCUUACAAGCUUUCGAUUUUGAAUAUAUUCACAUCUUGCAACUUAAUUUAUUUUAAUUGCAAAUCCAUUUUUUAUAUUGUAGUGCCUUCUAGAACUUUGGCAACAUGGCGAGUUUGCCUCUAUACAAAGGCUGUCUGUAUGUCUUUAUUUUGGCAAAAAUUAACGAGUAAGAGAUGCUUUCCUUUUGUUGACAUGUCUCAACUUUAUUUGGUUUAUGAAGCGGAUAUUGAUAUAUUAGCUCACUUUAAAAACAAAUUUUGUGUCACUGUUA